AAUGAACGCUGGCGACAGGCCUAACACAUGAAAGUCGAACGGAGCGGCGGACGGGGGAAUACUGCCGAGGAAGCUGCCUGUUAGUGGAGGAUAAAGUCGGGAAACGGGCGCUAAUACCACAUACUAUCAAAUGAGCCUAGGGAGGAUUAGCUGGUUGGUGGGGUAAAGGCCCACAAAGGCGACGAUCCGUCACUGGUCUGAGAGGAUGAUCAGUAACACUGGAACUUAGACACGGUCCAGACUCCUACGGGAGGCAGCAGUGGGGAAUAUUGGACAAUGGGCGAAAGCCUGAUCCAGCCAAGCCGCGUGUGUGAAGAAGGUCUUCGGAUCGUAAAGCUCUUUAAGUAGGGAGGCGUUACCUACAGAAUAAGCACCGGCUAACUUCGUGCCAGCAGCCGCGGUAAUAC
rnacentral:rRNA from 1 species